rnacentral:lncRNA from 1 species
GACAGUAUCCCCACUUUAUUUUCUCCAUUCGUGUCGCAUUAUGUCCAAAGAUGGGGUAUUUUCCAACUCAACAAGCCUUCCGAGUCCCGUACGGGACAGGCGUGCUCAAGUCUACAGUCUCCUUCAUCUGCGUGGAAAAGAGGCAGGAGGAGAGACAGAAUCUCCAAAGUACAGAAACGUCCGCAGGCUUCCAGCGUUUUCCAGCUUUCAAACACCUGCGAGGAACCGUGCUCCCGCACUGCAAACGCCGCGCCGCCCCACACUCGUGAGCUCCACACUAUUGUGCAAAACUUUGCCAAGGUGCACAGAUUCCCAGGCUUCUCCCACACCCCUCAUUCACCCCCAUGCUCGCCCCGCCGCAGGGAGAGACAGUUCCGCCGCACCAAGGCAGUCAUUUCAGAGCACGAAGUUUGCCUCACUUCUGCCCGCUCGCACUCUGCAGGACGCCAGCGAAACUUGCAUGGGAGACUCGUCUCCCCCGGGACCGAAACUUGCAGCGGGGGAGAGGGCAGCGGGCUCCACCCACCCCCCAACCCGGGAGCUGGGCAGCCGCAGCCCCUGCCUGGGCCCCCUCCGCGAGGCCCCCAGCCCGGCGCCCGCCAACCUGCCAAUCACCCCGUAGACCCCCCAACACGCAAAGCGGGGGAGAAGCCGGCGAGGGCACCCCGCGCACGUUUCCGCAGCCUGUCCGCUUCCAGGGCUGUGCCCGCGAGCCGCAGCUACGUCCCCUCCUCCCGGGUCCGGGAAUGGCGGCGUCCGGCUCCCUGGGGCCAACUCCGAAUCCCCGCCCGGGAGGUCGCCCCGGGAAGCCGCCGCUGCCGGCCGGCUGUGGCGAGGGAUGAGAAAAGGAACUUACCUCCGGACGGUCCCGUCGGCGAGAGCAGUGGGCAGCGGGCAGGGCGGGCAGUCCCCGGCGGCCAAGCUGGUCCGGCGCGGCGGCGGCGGCGGCGGCGGCGGCUACCGCAGUGCCCUCCGCCCCAUUGUUUCCCUUCCAAGAGGAUCCCGGCAAAGCCGAGCCCGCGAACCAGGAAGUUCCCCGGCGCGACACCUCCUGCCGCCGCUAUGGAAACGGCCCCCGCCUCCCAGGGCGGCUCGCCCGGGACCCCGCCUCCACGCCGCCGGCCCCGCCCGCUUCACGGGCCGCCGCCAACCGUCGCCGCUGCGGCCGCGGCCGCCGCCAUCUUGGCGCGGCCCGGGGCGGCCCCUUCCCGGCGGCACGUGCGCGCCACUCCCGCGCUCCCGUCGUGCGCGCUCCCGCUGGGCGCGGGGGCGCGGGCCCCGGGCUGCAGGUGGAGGCGCGGGGUCCCUUGGAAUCCCUGGGCGCAAAAGCUGGCCUCUUUGAGCGCUAGGCGCGAGUUCAGGGAAGGCCCAACACCUACAGCAGGGCUUCGAGGCUUUUGCACGGGAAUGACCGACACUUGGCGUGUGCGACUUGAUGUGUCAAAAAGAAUGGCUGAGACCUGGCGGGCUGUCAGCAGAGUAGGGGACAAGAGCGUGGUUCCUGGAGCCAGACUGGCUGGUUUCUUCCUCUCUGGCUCCAGAGCUUAUCUGCUGUCAGAUCUUCUUCUGUACAGUGGGCUAAUAGUAUCUGCUCUUAGGGGUAGUUGCCGGAGCAAGCGGAGUGGCAAGUUGGAGAUAAUCUAG